rnacentral:pre_miRNA from 1 species
GACUUCAACUGAAAAGUAAUCAACAACAAAGUUGUAUAGUCCAUCUAGAUCUACAAUUUUUAUUUUGGUCAUUUCUUCAUCUGAUAAAGUGAUUAUAACAUUGUACGCAAAUUUUACAUCUCCCAUAUGGUUUCAUAAAUUAUAAGAGAGAUGUGUAAAUUUUGUAAACAAUGUUACUAUCACUUUAUCGGAUGAAGAAAUGACCAAAAUAAAAAUUAUAGAUAUUAAUGAGUUAUACAGCUUCGUUGUUAAUGACUUUUUCAGUUGAAAUC